GACGAACGCUGGCGGCGUGCCUAAUACAUGCAAGUCGAGCGCAGGAAACUGACGGAACUCUUCGGAGGGAAGGCAGUGGAAUGAGCGGCGGACGGGUGAGUAACACGUAAGGAACCUGCCUCAAGGAUUGGGAUAACUCCGAGAAAUCGGAGCUAAUACCGGAUAGUUCAACGGACCGCAUGGUCCGCUGAUGAAAGGCGCUGCGGCGUCACCUUGAGAUGGCCUUGCGGUGCAUUAGCUAGUUGGUGGGGUAACGGCCCACCAAGGCGACGAUGCAUAGCCGACCUGAGAGGGUGAUCGGCCACACUGGGACUGAGACACGGCCCAGACUCCUACGGGAGGCAGCAGUAGGGAAUCUUCCACAAUGGACGAAAGUCUGAUGGAGCAACGCCGCGUGAGUGAUGAAGGUUUUCGGAUCGUAAAACUCUGUUGUAAGGGAAGAACACGUACGAGAGGAAAUGCUCGUACCUUGACGGUACCUUACGAGAAAGCCACGGCUAACUACGUGCCAGCAGCCGCCGUAAGAC
rnacentral:rRNA from 1 species